AUUGAACGCUGGCGGCAGGCCUAACACAUGCAAGUCGAACGAGUGGCGGACGGGUGAGUAAUGUCUGGGAAACUGCCUGAUGGAGGGGGAUAACUACUGGAAACGGUAGCUAAUACCGCAUACCAUCAGAUGUGCCCAUAUGGGAUUAUCUAGUUGGUGGGGUAACGGCUCACCAAGGCGACGAUCCCUCGCUGGUCUGAGAGGAUGACCCGCCACACUGGAACUGAGACACGGUCCAGACUCCUACGGUAGGCAGCAUUGGGGAUUAUUGCACACUGUGCGCUAGCCUGAUGCAGCCAUUCCGCGUGUAUGAAGAAGGCCUUCGGGUUGUAAAGUACUUUCAGCGGGGAGGCGUUACCCGCAGAAGAAGCACCGGCUAACUCCGUGCCAGCAGCCGCGGUAAUUC
rnacentral:rRNA from 1 species